rnacentral:rRNA from 1 species
UACGUAGGUGGCGACCGUUGUCCGGAAUUACUGGGCGUAAAGCGUGCGUAGGCGGCUCCUUAAGCGAGGUGUGAAAUCCCUGGGCUCAACCCAGGAACUGCACUUCAAACUGGGGAGCUAGAGUGCAGGAGAGGAAAGCGGAAUUCCCGGUGUAGCGGUGAAAUGCGUAGAGAUCGGGAGGAACACCAGUGGCGAAGGCGGCUUUCUGGACUGUAACUGACGCUGAGGCACGAAAGCGUGGGGAGCAAACAGG